AUGACUUCGCUCUGUGCAGACCAGGCGGAAGCAAAGCGGGACCCGGAAAGGCCCUCGGGCUGCCUCCACCCCCACCCCCGGCUGCCAAGGGGCCGGGACCAUAGCUCUGCCGCUGCCGGAUCCAUUUCCUUGUCCUGCCGAGGGUGUGGUCCGUCCUGGAAUGCCAGGCCACGGCCGGCCCGCCUGACAGGGCGCCGUCCUGGCCAGUCCAGGCUUAGACCCGGGGAUCUGGAGCCAGGCAGGCCUGUCUGUCCGCAAAACCCAGAGCUGUGUGUCCAGCUGCCAACCCCUCUGUCACCUCCAGGUGUCCCGCAGGCGUCUCUGGCCCAGAUCUGCUCUCCCCGCCUCAUCUCACAGAUGCCUCGCCCUUACCUGUCACAUCUGCGCCAAGAGCAAGUCCUGGGCCCUGCCCCCAAAGCAGCUCUCAACCUGCUGCCUGCACACCAGCCCUCCUGCCCUCGUCACCACUUGCCCAACCUCCCUGUGUUUGUUCUGGUCCCCUGCACCCAUGAAUCUGCCACCGUGUGAUGACACAUGCCCUGAGGACACGCUUAGGUCAUGUCCCAGAGCAGUUAAAUCAUCUCGGGGGAGCUCCGUCACACUGCAGAUGGAGUUCGAGCUCUUGGCCGUGUGCUGGGAGGGGGGCUGGCGCAGGGAGGCCCUCCCUACACCAUUGUCAUCACUGCCGCCACCGUCGCCACCGCCACCGCCACCAACCACCACCGCCACCACUACCACUGCCACCGUCAACCACUACCGCCAUCCCAGAAUUCUCCUACAAGACGAGGGAGAGUCUCCCCAGCAGUGGGGCCCUGGAAGAAGGGACAUUCCCAGUCAGUACUGUCCCUGUGGGUGUGGCCCGAACAGAAGGAAGUUAACCCUCCCAGGCCAUGUGGAGACACAAUUAGUGACGGUUACAGGGAAAAUAGGUAUUAAACACUCUUGGGGUUUUUCCUUGAUCUGAGGCUGAGUCACUUGUCACCAGAGGGCAGCCCCCGCCUCGCUCAGCCAAGCGUGAAGCUGCCAUCUGGAAUCCCGCCUGGCACAGCUGCCCCGUGCCACCGCCUGCAGGCGGGUUCUGGCCUGUGUCUACACCUGCACGCUUCAUUCAGCCUCCAACCACUCAGGGACGCAGUCUCUUCAAUGUCUCCGUGUUUGCGAAUAACCUGCUAUGAACGCUGGCGUGCAAAUACCUCUUCAAGCCCCUGCUUUAAUUCCUCCUGGGGGUAACAGGCCCAGAAGCAGAAUUGCAAGAUCUUUCGCUAAUCCUCUUUGGGGAGCUUUUUGCAGAAUCGCAAGGCUGCCUUCCACAGCGGCUGCCCCGUUUGAGGUUCCCGCCGGCAAUCAUGUGGGCAUAUUUUAAAAGGCCCCAGAGGACAGAGGGGGGCAGGUGGGUGUGCUCUUGAGAAAGGCUGAAUAAAUUCCCUGGAAACUGAGGUCCUUGCUACCACUGGGCCUCCCCCAGCGGCCCUGGCCCACGCAGGAGCCGGGCUCCCACGUCGCUUGCAAACUCAGAGAGAGCAGGAGAAAGGAACAGACUAAAGCAGAGCAGCUGC
rnacentral:lncRNA from 9 species